ACGACCAGAUCACGUUUAAACACCGGUUAACGUCCGAUCACCGAAGUUAAGCAACGUUGAACCUGGUCAGUGUUUAGAUUGGUGAGCUUUCGGCAAUAACAGGCGCUGUCAG